rnacentral:rRNA from 1 species
GAUGAACGCUGGCGGCGUGCCUAAUACAUGCAAGUCGAGCGAACAGACGAGGAGCUUGCUCCUUUGACGUUAGCGUCGGACGGGUGAGUAACACGUGGGUCACCUACCUAUAAGACUGGGAUAACUUCUGGAAACCGGAGCUAAUACCUGAUAAUAUUUCGAACCGCAUGGUUCUAUAGUGAAAGAUGGCUUUUCUAUCACUUAUAGAUGGACCUGCGCCGUAUUAGCUAGUUGGUAAGGUAACGGCUUACCAAGGCAACGAUACGUAGCCGACCUGAGAGGGUGAUCGGCCACACGGGAAAUGAGACACGGUCCAGACUCCUAAGGGAGGCAGCAGUAGGGAAUCUUCAGCAAUGGGCGAAAGCCUGAAGGAGCAACGCCGCGUGAGUGAUGAAGGUCUUCGGAUCGUAAAACUCUGUUAUUAGGGAAGAACAAACGUGUAAGUAACUGGGAACGUCUUGAAGGUACCUAAUCAGAAAGCCACGGCUAAAUACGGG